rnacentral:rRNA from 1 species
GAUGAACGCUGGCGGCGUGCCUAAUACAUGCAAGUCGAGCGAACAGACGAGGAGCUUGCUCCUCUGACGUUAGCGGCGGACGGGUGAGUAACACGUGGAUAACCUACCUAUAAGACUGGGAUAACUUCGGGAAACCGGAGCUAAUACCGGAUAAUAUAUUGAACCGCAUGGUUCAAUAGUGAAAGACGGUUUUGCUGUCACUUAUAGAUGGAUCCGCGCCGCAUUAGCUAGUUGGUAGGUAACGGCUUACCAAGGCAACGAUGCGUAGCCGACCUGAGAGGGUGAUCGGCCACACCGGAACUGAGACACGGUCCAGACUCCUACGGGAGGCAGCAGUAGGGAAUCUUCCGCAAUGGGCGAAAGCUUGACGGAGCAACGCCGCGUGAGUGAUGAAGGUCUUCGGAUCGUAAAACUCUGUUAUUAGGGAAGAACAAAUGUGUAAGUAACUAUGCACGUCUUGACGGUACCUAAUCAGAAAGCCACGGCUAACUACGUG